UACGUAGGGUCCGAGCGUUGUCCGGAAUUAUUGGGCGUAAAGGGCUCGUAGGCGGUUUGUCGCGUCGGGAGUGAAAACACGGGGCUUAACCCCGUGCCUGCUUCCGAUACGGGCAGACUAGAGGUAUGCAGGGGAGAACGGAAUUCCUGGUGUAGCGGUGAAAUGCGCAGAUAUCAGGAAGAACACCAAUGGCGAAAGCAGCUUUCUGGGACGGUACUGACGCUGAGACGCGAAAGCGUGGGGAGCGAACAGG
rnacentral:rRNA from 1 species